CCUACGGGUGGCUGCAGUGGGGAAUCUUGCACAAUGGGGGAAACCCUGAUGCAGCGACGCCGCGUGGAGGACGAAGGAUCUAGGUCUGUAAACUCCUUUUUCACGGAAAGACUUAGGACGGUACCGUGAGAAUAAGCCCCGGCUAACUACGUGCCAGCAGCCGCGGUAAGACGUAGGGGGCGAGCGUUGUCCGGAUUUACUGGGCGUAAAGAGCGCGUAGGCGGCUCGUUAAGUGUGAAGUGAAAUCUCCAGGGCUCAACCCGGAAACUGCUUCGCAUACUGGCGAGCUUGAGGAAUGCAGAGGUAAGUAGAAUUCCUGGUGUAGCGGUGAAAUGCGUAGAUAUCAGGAGGAAUACCGACGGCGAAGGCAGCUUACUGGGCAUUAUCUGACGCUGAGGCGCGAAAGCGUGGGUAGCAAACAGGAUUAGAUACCCCAGUAGUC
rnacentral:rRNA from 1 species